UCAUCUCAUUCCUGAUUCAAAUUGAUCCCUUCAGUGGCUCGUUCUUACACUAGCAACGUAAAACUGGCCCAAAUGGGUUUAAAGUGGUCAGAACUUGCUCAUGGCCAGUUCAAACCUUUUCUCACAUGGAAAAAUAAGUUCUGACCAGUUCUAAUCUAUUUUGACCAGUUUAAUGUAAUUCUGCAGAGCUGGAGCCUGAGGUCGGUAAACUCAGGAAGACGGCUGAAGAAGAUGCUGAUUUGAGCCAAAGCAAGGAAUCAGAUUCAUAGAGAUCUCUGGAUCCAGAUUCAGUUCCUAUUUCAUCCUGGACCUGUGGCCACUAGAAGCCCUGAGAUGUGCUUCUUAGGUACUCUGGAACUGGCUUACCAGUAUUUAGAAGGGCACAUCAUUGUGAGCCAGAAUGACAGAGGGCUCAAAAGAUUCCAGGUGCGUUGUCAUAUUCUGAUGCCCUGAUGUUGGGAUCAAUAGAGGAUGGACAUAGAAAAAAAAUCAAGAAUUCUACAUCAUUUUGAUG